UACGUAGGGCGCAAGCGUUGUCCGGAAUUAUUGGGCGUAAAGAGCUCGUAGGCGGUCUGUCGCGUCUGUUGUGAAAACUCGAGGCUCAACCUCGGGCUUGCAGUGGAUACGGGCAGACUAGAGUGCGGUAGGGGAGACUGGAAUUCCUGGUGUAGCGGUGGAAUGCGCAGAUAUCAGGAGGAACACCGAUGGCGAAGGCAGGUCUCUGGGCCGCAACUGACGCUGAGAAGCGAAAGCGUGGGGAGCGAACAGG
rnacentral:rRNA from 1 species